CACAUGCAAGUCGAGGGGCAGCAUGAACUUAGCUUGCUAAGUUUGAUGGCGACCGGCGCACGGGUGAGUAACACGUAUCCAACCUGCCGAUGACUCGGGGAUAGCCUUUCGAAAGAAAGAUUAAUACCCGAUGGCAUAGUUCUUCCGCAUGGUGGAACUAUUAAAGAAUUUCGGUCAUCGAUGGGGAUGCGUUCCAUUAGGUUGUUGGCGGGGUAACGGCCCACCAAGCCUUCGAUGGAUAGGGGUUCUGAGAGGAAGGUCCCCCACAUUGGAACUGAGACACGGUCCAAACUCCUACGGGAGGCAGCAGUGAGGAAUAUUGGUCAAUGGACGAGAGUCUGAACCAGCCAAGUAGCGUGAAGGAUGACUGCCCUAUGGGUUGUAAACUUCUUUUAUACGGGAAUAAAGUGAGGCACGUGUGCCUUUUUGUAUGUACCGUAUGAAUAAGGAUCGGCUAACUCCGUGCCAGCCGCCGCGGUAAUACGGAGGAUCCGAGCGUUAUCCGGAUUUAUUGGGUUUAAAGGGAGCGUAGGCGGACGCUUAAGUCAGCUGUGAAAGUUUGCGGCUCAACCGUAAAAUUGCAGUUGAUACUGGGUGUCUUGAGUACAGUAGAGGCAGGCGGAAUUCGUGGUGUAGCGGUGAAAUGCUUAGA
rnacentral:rRNA from 1 species